UACGUAGGGGGGCAAGCGUUGUCCGGAAUCAUUGGGCGUAAGAGCGCGUAGGCGGUCCGGUAAGUCGGUUGUGAAAACUGGGGGCUCAACCCUCAGAGGCCGACCGAUACUGUCGGGCUAGAGUCCGGAAGAGGCGAGUGGAAUUCCUGGUGUAGCGGUGAAAUGCGCAGAUAUCAGGAGGAACACCAAUGGCGAAGGCAGCUCGCUGGGACGGUACUGACGCUGAGGCGACGAAAGGCGUGGGGGAGCAAACAGG
rnacentral:rRNA from 1 species